GCAGUCGAGCGGACAGAUGGGAGCUUGCUCCCUGAUGUUAGCGGCGGACGGGUGAGUAACACGUGGGUAACCUGCCUGUAAGACUGGGAUAACUCCGGGAAACCGGGGCUAAUACCGGAUGGUUGUUUGAACCGCAUGGUUCAAACAUAAAAGGUGGCUUCGGCUACCACUUACAGAUGGACCCGCGGCGCAUUAGCUAGUUGGUGAGGUAACGGCUCACCAAGGCGACGAUGCGUAGCCGACCUGAGAGGGUGAUCGGCCACACUGGGACUGAGACACGGCCCAGACUCCUACGGGAGGCAGCAGUAGGGAAUCUUCCGCAAUGGACGAAAGUCUGACGGAGCAACGCCGCGUGAGUGAUGAAGGUUUUCGGAUCGUAAAGCUCUGUUGUUAGGGAAGAACAAGUACCGUUCGAAUAGGGCGGUACCUUGACGGUACCUAACCAGAAAGCCACGGCUAACUACGUGCCAGCAGCCGCGGUAAUACGUAGGUGGCAAGCGUUGUCCGGAAUUAUUGGGCGUAAAGGGCUCGCAGGCGGUUUCUUAAGUCUGAUGUGAAAGCCCCCGGCUCAACCGGGGAGGGUCAUUGGAAACUGGGGAACUUGAGUGCAGAAGAGGAGAGUGGAAUUCCACGUGUAGCGGUGAAAUGCGUAGAGAUGUGGAGGAACACCAGUGGCGAAGGCGACUCUCUGGUCUGUAACUGACGCUGAGGAGCGAAAGCGUGGGGAGCGAACAGGAUUAGAUACCCUGGUAGUCCACGCCGUAAACGAUGAGUGCUAAGUGUUAGGGGGUUUCCGCCCCUUAGUGCUGCAGCUAACGCAUUAAGCACUCCGCCUGGGGAGUACGGUCGCAAGACUGAAACUCAAAGGAAUUGACGGGGGCCCGCACAAGCGGUGGAGCAUGUGGUUUAAUUCGAAGCAACGCGAAGAACCUUACCAGGUCUUGACAUCCUCUGACAAUCCUAGAGAUAGGACGUCCCCUUCGGGGGCAGAGUGACAGGUGGUGCAUGGUUGUCGUCAGCUCGUGUCGUGAGAUGUUGGGUUAAGUCCCGCAACGAGCGCAACCCUUGAUCUUAGUUGCCAGCAUUCAGUUGGGCACUCUAAGGUGACUGCCGGUGACAAACCGGAGGAAGGUGGGGAUGACGUCAAAUCAUCAUGCCCCUUAUGACCUGGGCUACACACGUGCUACAAUGGACAGAACAAAGGGCAGCGAAACCGCGAGGUUAAGCCAAUCCCACAAAUCUGUUCUCAGUUCGGAUCGCAGUCUGCAACUCGACUGCGUGAAGCUGG
rnacentral:rRNA from 1 species